GGCUGGUCUGAAGGUAGUCAGUUUUCUCAGUUGAUUGUUUGCAGUCAGUUACAGAUUGAAGUCCUUGUUCUACUCUUUCCCUCUUCUCACUACUGUACUUGACUAGUCUUUA
ensembl:misc_RNA Y_RNA Y RNA